rnacentral:rRNA from 1 species
UUACGGGAGGCAGCAGUAGGGAAUAUUGGUCAAUGGAGGCAACUCUGAACCAGCCAUGCCGCGUGCAGGAAGACUGCCCUAUGGGUUGUAAACUGCUUUUGUACGGGAAGAAACCCUUCGAUGCGUCGGAGGUUGACGGUACCGUGAGAAUAAGGAUCGGCUAACUUCGUGCCAGCAGCCGCGGUAAUACGAAGGAUCCAAGCGUUGUCCGGAUUUACUGGGUUUAAAGGGAGCGUAGGCGGUUUCUUAAGUCAGUGGUGAAAGCCUUCAGCUUAACUGAAGAAUUGCCAUUGAAACUGAGAGACUCGAGUAUGGUUGAGGUCACUGGAAUGUAACAUGUAGCGGUGAAAUGCUUAGAUAUGUUACAGAACACCAAUUGCGAAGGCAGGUGACUAAGCCAUAACUGACGCUGAGGCUCGAAAGCGUGGGGAGCAAACAGGAUUAGAUACCCCAGUAA